UACGUAGGACCCAAGCGUUAUCCGGAAUGACUGGGCGUAAAGAGUUGCGUAGGUGGUCAGUAAAGCGAAUAGUGAAACCUGGUGGCUUAACCAUUCAGACUAUUAUUCGAGCUCACUGACUCGAGAAUGGUAGAGGUAGUUGGAAUUUCUAGUGUAGGAGUGAAAUCCGUAGAUAUUAGAAGGAACACCAAUGGCGUAGGCAGGCUACUGGACCAUUUCUGACACUGGGGCACGAAAGCGUGGGGAGCGAACCGG
rnacentral:rRNA from 1 species